ACCAGACUCCUACGGGAGGCAGCAGUGGGGGAUAUUGCACAAUGGGGGAAACCCUGAUGCAGCGACGCCGCGUGGGUGAAGAAGUAUUUCGGUAUGUAAAGCCCUAUCAGCAGGGAAGAAAGAAGACGGUACCUGACUAAGAAGCCCCGGCUAACUACGUGCCAGCAGCCGCGGUAAUACGUAGGGGGCAAGCGUUAUCCGGAUUUACUGGGUGUAAAGGGGGCGCAGACGGCGAUGCAAGCCAGGAGUGAAAGCCCGGGGCCCAACCCCGGGACUGCUCUUGGAACUGCGUGGCUGGAGUGCAGGAGGGGCAGGCGGAAUUCCUGGUGUAGCGGUGAAAUGCGUAGAUAUCAGGAGGAACACCGGUGGCGAAGGCGGCCUGCUGGACUGCAACUGACGUUGAGGCCCGAAAGCGUGGGGAGCCAACAGGAUUAGAUACCCCAGUA
rnacentral:rRNA from 1 species